rnacentral:lncRNA from 1 species
CCAAGCCCAGCCAAGCCUCCUGCACCCCCCGGCCUCUGCUGCCCGGUCCCAGGCACAUCUGUAAAGAGGAGAGAACGACAACACCAAAGACUCUGAAGAAAAUGUAAAGUUGAAAACCCCAUCCCCAUAAAUCAGAGCCCUUGAAUGAGCACAUCCUGGGAGGAGCAGCUCCUGAGCACGGGGUUUUGGUCUCUAAGCAGUGUUGCUGAAUCUUUCAUUGAUGAUGACUUGUGCACAACAAAAGCCCCUGGAGGGGCCAGUAAUGGAUGCACACAACAGGAAAGCUGUGAGAGAGGCUCAGGUGAUCCAUACAUCUCUCCCUCCAGCCAGAGAGUGACCUGCAGGUCCCCAAAAGCCCCACCAGCUCCUCCCUCCAGGGCGCAGAAACAGCCAAGAUGACUUCUCAGAGGAAAGACUGUGGGAGCAUCCACUCCACCCAACACCAGGACCACUCACGAGGCCGGAGCAUUCGGACAGUGUGAUGCUGGUGAUUCAAAAUAAGCCGCAGUGUCAGAAGUCAGACAGAGGCCUUGGACGGAAGCGUGGCGUGGUUUGAGGCAGGACCAGGAAACCUCGGAGCCUCGCAGGGGACUGGUUUCCUCCGAGGAGCUGUUGAUUUAGCAGAAGGACAGGGGCCCCGGCCAGGGAGACGUCACUUCUGCUCGGGACAGACGUCCACGCUGGCUUUUCCCUGAAACCCACACAGGCCUACCGCAGGCGGAUGGGACACCGUGGCGGGCAUCAGAGCAGGCUUGCCACAGACUCUUCACCUGCAAGGAAGCUGCCAGGACGGGAGGUCAGGGAAGGUCGCCAGGGCCACACUGCUGGAGCGUCUGGGCCACUGGGUCCUGCCUUCCAGUCUCACCUUCGCUCCGGGUGACGGUGGCCUCCCCAGGCCCCGGCGACGUCCUCUCUGAAGCAGGAACGCAGGGCAGACGCUGGCUCUGCUGCCGGUUUUGAGGCGCCUGCAGGAGGCUUACUGAUUGACGCAGGACUGCCCACACCGUCCCAGCAGGAGGAACAGCGCUCCCCUCCUGGGUUCUGCUGGGAUGACGAAGGCACAGGCAUGAGGCGCCACCGCUCCAGCUGCAGACAGGACUGCGCCCGGGAGAUGCUCAACAUGAGGGUCACCCUCUCACAGUUUGGAUUCCGCCCUCACCAGACUCCGGUCUGUGAACUGAAGCUUCAGUCACUUUUGCAACGCGGAGUGUUCACCUCCUGAGACGAAGUUAUUCAACACUGCGACAUCAGCUGAGCGGGGACGCUGUUUAUAUUUAAAUGAAUGUUGUAACAGUUAUUUUUUGUGAUGCUCUUAUGAAACCCCCUCCCCCAGUCCUUUCAGAUUAAGGCUCGCAAUUAAACACAUAACCAUAAAAGAGAACCAGGAAACCGAAAU